rnacentral:rRNA from 1 species
GGCGAACGCUGGCGGCGUGCUUAACACAUGCAAGUCGAACGCUGAAGACCUGGCUUUUGUUGGGUUGGAUGAGUGGCGAACGGGUGAGUAACACGUGAGUAACCUGCCCUCUUCUUUGGGAUAACGCCCGGAAACGGGUGCUAAUACUGGAUAUUCACUGAUCUUCGCAUGGGGGUUGGUGGAAAGGUUUGUUCUGGUGGGGGAUGGGCUCGCGGCCUAUCAGCUUGUUGGUGGGGUGAUGGCCUACCAAGGCUUUGACGGGUAGCCGGCCUGAGAGGGUGACCGGUCACAUUGGGAAUGAGAUACGGCCCAGACUGCUACGGGAGGCAGCAGUGGGGAAUAUUGCACAAUGGGCGAAAGCCUGAUGCAGCGACGCCGCGUGAGGGAUGGAGGCCUUCGGGUUGUAAACCUCUUUCGCUCAUGGUCAAGCCGCAACUGUGGGUUGUGGUGAGGGUAGUGGGUAAAGAAGCGCCGGCUAACUACGUG